rnacentral:rRNA from 1 species
AUACGUAGGUGGCAAGCGUUGUCCGGAAUUAUUGGGCGUAAAGCGCGCGCAGGUGGUUCCUUAAGUCUGAUGUGAAAGCCCCCGGCUCAACCGGGGAGGGUCAUUGGAAACUGGGGAACUUGAGUGCAGAAGAGGAUAGUGGAAUUCCAAGUGUAGCGGUGAAAUGCGUAGAGAUUUGGAGGAACACCAGUGGCGAAGGCGACUGUCUGGUCUGUAACUGACACUGAGGCGCGAAAGCGGGAGAAGCAAACAGGAUUAGAUACCCUGGUAGUCCACGCCGUAAACGAUGAGUGCUAAGUGUUGGGGGGUUUCCGCCCCUCAGUGCUGCAGCUAACGCAUUAAGCACUCCGCCUGGGGAGUACGGUCGCAAGACUGAAACUCAAAUGAAUUGGCGGGG